GGGGUUGUAGCUCAAUGGUAGAGUCCUUGCCUAGCACGCAUGAGGCACUGGGUUCGAUCCUCAGCACCACA
rnacentral:tRNA from 1 species